rnacentral:rRNA from 1 species
UACACGCUGUGACUAGCAUAUCAAUAAGCGGAGGAAAAGAAACUAACAAGGAUUCCCCUAGUAACGGCGAGUGAAGCGGGAAGAGCUCAAAUUUGAAAUCUUAAAGGGUUUCCCUUUACGAAUUGUAGUUUAAAGAAGGUGUUUUCUGUUGAGGUUUUGGUAAAAGUUCUUUGGAAUAGGACAUCAUAGAGGGUGAGAAUCCCGUAUUUGACCUUUACUUUCAACUUUGUGAUACACUUUCAAAGAGUCGGAUUGUUUGGGAAUGCAGUCCAAAAUGGGUGGUAAAUUUCAUCUAAAGCUAAAUAUUGGCGAGAGACCGAUAGCGAACAAGUACCGUGAGGGAAAGAAUGAAAAGAACUUUGAAAAGAGAGUUAAACAGUACGUGAAAUUGUCAAAAGGGAAGCGUUUGACACCAGUGUUGUUUUUCUGAAAAUCAAUUAAAGAACUGUUUAUGCUAAGUUGUUUAGACUUUAUCAGCUAUCUGUUUAGUUUUGAGCUUUUCUUUAAUGCACUUUUCAGUUAACAAGUCAACAUCAAUUUCUUUUGCUGUAAAAAAGCUUGAGGAAGGUGGCUUGAGAUUCGUCUUAAGUGUUUAUAGCCUCUUGCCUAUGCAGUCGGAGAGAUUGAGGUCUGCAGCGUAGAUCCUUCGGGGCUAAAUGCAUUUGUGCUAAGUUAUAGCAUUUUAUAGACAACUUGUUGACUAUGGAUUUGUCUUGUAGCUUACUCGCUUAUGUUAUUCUACCUACGCUUAGGAUGUUGACUGAUAUGUAGUCGUA